rnacentral:rRNA from 1 species
UACGGAGGGGGCUAGCGUUGUUCGGAAUUACUGGGCGUAAAGCGCACGUAGGCGGAUAUUUAAGUCAGGGGUGAAAUCCCGGGGCUCAACCCCGGAACUGCCUUUGAUACUGGGUAUCUGGAGGUCGAGCGAGGCGAGUGGAAUUCCGAGUGUAGAGGUGAAAUUCGUAGAUAUUCGGAAGAACACCAGUGGCGAAGGCGACACACUGGGCCAUUACUGACGCUGAGGCGCGAAAGCGUGGGGAGCAAACAGG